AACGAUUGACAAGCGCCAGAGCUUGCUGAUGGAGAUGACGGUCGCGUCAUAAAGGCAAGCUGACGAGGUGGAGGUGUUCGAACAUGUUCGGCGGGGACCUCCCGGUUACGCAUUCGAACCGUAAGCCGAUACGUCAAAAGGAGACGGGCAACCGCUCUGACAAACGUUCGGCGGAAUGCGC
rnacentral:ncRNA from 2 species